rnacentral:tRNA from 1 species
CAGGUGUAGUUUAGUGGUAAAACAAAAGCUUCCCAAGCUUUGGUCGUGAGUUCGAUUCUCAUCACUU